rnacentral:rRNA from 1 species
CCUACGGGCGGCAGCAGUGAGGAAUAUUGGUCAAUGGCCGUAAGGCUGAACCAGCCAAGCCGCGUGAAGGAAGAAGGUUCUAUGGUUUGUAAACCUCUUUUAUAGGGGAAUAAAGGCAUCCACGUGUGGAUAUUUGCAUGUACCCUAUGAAUAAGCAUCGGCUAACUCCGUGCCAGCAGCCGCGGUAAUACGGAGGAUGCGAGCGUUAUCCGGAUUUAUUGGGGGUAAAGGGUGCGUAGGUUGUUUUUUAAGUUAGCGGUGAAAGUUUGUGGCUCAACCAUAAAAUUGCCGUUGAAACUGGAAGACUUGAGUGUGGUAGAGGUAGGCGGAAUGCGUGGUGUAGCGGUGAAAUGCAUAGAUAUCACGCAGAACUCCGAUUGCGAAGGCAGCUUACUGGGCCAUAACUGACGCUGAGGCACGAAAGCGUGGGGAUCAAACAGGAUUAGAUACCCUGGUAGUC